CCGAACGGUUGAUUCGGCCUUUAAAGGUUCAAGUAGUAAUAAUGACUGAAUAUGAUUCAAAUUGAUUAUUACUAUGAAAUAAACAUUUUGUUAUACAUUCACUGUUGUUUAUGAUACAUUUAAUGACAUUAGCUAGCUAGCUGGAUGACUACAGAGAUUAUAUACAGAAAUGGAUGAA